rnacentral:rRNA from 1 species
CCUACGGGGGGCAGCAGUGAGGAAUAUUGGUCAAUGGACGCAAGCCUGAACCAGCCAUGCCGCGUGCAGGAAGACGGCCCUAUGAGUUGUAAACUGCUUUUGUACGAGGGUAAACGCAGAUACGCGUAUCUGUCUGAAAGUAUCGUACGAAUAAGGAUCGGCUAACUCCGUGCCAGCAGCCGCGGUAAUACGGAGGAUUCAAGCGUUAUCCGGAUUUAUUGGGUUUAAAGGGUGCGUAGGCGGUCGGAUAAGUUAGAGGUGAAAUCCCGAGGCUCAACUUCGGAAUUGCCUCUGAUACUGUUCGGCUAGAGAGUAGUUGCGGUAGGCGGAAUGUAUGGUGUAGCGGUGAAAUGCUUAGAGAUCAUACAGAACACCGAUUGCGAAGGCAGCUUACCAAGCUACUUCUGACGUUGAGGCACGAAAGCGUGGGGAGCAAACAGGAGUAGAUACCCGGGUAGUC